UUUUAAAGAGAGUUUGAUCCUGGCUCAGGACGAACGCUGGCGGCGUGCCUAAUACAUGCAAGUCGAACGAACGGAGGAAGAGCUUGCUCUUCCAAAGUUAGU
rnacentral:rRNA from 1 species